CUUAAUACUAAUAGUUAGGAUUGAUUAUAAGAAUUCUUUUUCGUUAUUUAGUUGUUGGGCACUAAAUCUGCCUCAAUAUAAAAAAAAUCGAAGAAAUAAACACUUAAAAUUGUACCACGAAUGCACAGAACUCGUCGUAUAACACUGAAAACUGCAAGGACUAACCAGCAAAGAAUAGCCUACAUAUAUGUUAACACUUCACCUGGGAUGCUGCCUCCGUCAGUAUUGCAUGCAGAUUCCUGGUCUCAGCCAGAACACUUUCCUUGUCAAAUAGAGCUGAAACAACUGCAACGCCUUCCAGAUUUGACACUCCAGUUUCCAUCACACAGCCUGCAUUUGAAGCAUUGAUGCCACCAAUUGCAACCACUGGUAACUUAGAUGCUAUACAAACAGCUUUUAACCCAUCCAAACCAAGGGUUGGAUUGUUUGCUUUUGUAUUUGUUGGAUAUACACCACCACAACCUAUGUAAUCAGCACCAUCAAUCCAUGCUUGCUGGGCUUGCUCAGGUGUUUUGCAUGAUACACCAAUUAUCUUUUCAGGGCCAAGAAGAGCGCGGGCAAUACGAACAGGCAUGUCAGACUGACCAACAUGUACGCCAUCAGCAUCACAUGCAAGCGCUACAUCAACUCGGUCAUCUAUCAAUAGAGGAACUCCAUGGGAACGGCAAAUUUCAAGACAUGCUUUUGCCAUGUCCAAGAACUCCCUUGUUUCAGCAUCCUUCUCCCUAAGAAGCAAAUUCUCAGUAUUAACAGAAGCAUGCUGGCAGAUAUAUCAUUUUGCAUGGGCAGUUACUACUUGCACAGGUUGGACUAAGAAAGCAAAGCUAUAUUUAUAAAAACAUCAACCUGUUUCAAGGCAAUAAAACAGAGUGCGCAAAUAAAACAUGUUUGUACUCAAUGGUGAUAGAGAAUCAUAUUUAUAGAAAAAUGGUCAAGACACCUCAAAGCUCAAAUCCUAGAACCACUAUAAUUUUUCUCUUAGAUCAUGGAAAAUAAUGAAAAAGCAAAUCUAAAGCAAAUUAUAAGGGGCAUUAAAUUGAAAAAAUUAAAAGGUUACCACAUCAUGCAUCAGUUGGAAAUUUGAAGAACAUAACUGAAAUGCUAGGAAAAUUAUUUCAGUUUUCUUCCUGUAAGAUAUAUUUUAACUAACGGAAAAAAAUUCCAGCCUUCUGAAUGUGAAGCAAGCUAUAAGCAGUCAAACCUCAAUUGAACAAUGGUAGCACCUCCUUCUAUUGCUGCUUUAAUGGCAUCCACCAUAGAUCGUCCCCACUUUUUAUUCAUCUGAGAGUCUGUAACAGCAUAUAAAAAUAGGUCACUUGGAUUGAAUGUCUGUUGUCGACCAGAGCAAAUACUAUUCGUAAGCCUUAAUAGGUGAUCAAAGGGGCCUUGCCGCCCAUUUCCAAUGAAAAUGUCUUUGCUGUACUCCAAGGCAGUCUCAACAUAGCGCUUAGCUACCUGCCCAAACUCAGACACAUAAGAACUACAAUGCUCAUACACCCUUUAGAAGGAAGGAAAAGAGAAACAAUAACGAUCACGAGUGAGAAGGAAAGAGAAGGAAAAAGGACGUGGAGGUCACAUAGAUAUUAAAGCACAUCAGCACAUCAAGGUCAACAUAGAAGAACUAGAGCAUGUUUCUCAACGAUUAAUUCCAUAAAGCCCAUAAACCAUCAAUCAGAUUACUCUUAAAAGUCAAAACUUGGCACACAAAAUCAAAGACUUUAAUAAUCUAAUUAUGUAAUUAUUGAGUCCGUUCUUGACUUUAUUUUGACUUUACAAACCAAAUUCUGCAAAAGCUUUUGUUGCUAUAGUCCUGAAUUAUGAACCAGAUGAAGAUAGCUGGGAGUGGGAACUGAAAACAGUAGCACUAUAAUAUAGUUACCUUAACAGCUGAAAGCAUUGAAGAACCUUUAGCCAGCUCAGCUGCUAUACAUGAUGCUAAUGUGCAACCAGUACCAUGGGUGUUGCGAGUUUUUAUGCGAGGUGAGCGCAACUCAUGGUAGUCUUUGCCAUCAAAGAAAAUAUCAACAGCAUCCAAAGAGUCAGGGAGGUCACCACCUUUGACGAGUAUAUUCCUGGAAGGCAAAAUCAAUAAAGUUCAAGUACACAAUUUUUUUCCCUUCAGUUUCAAGUUGAUGAUGAUGAUGCAUCCAUUCUAUCAAAUAGAUUUGCUAAAAGAAGCUGAAAAACAGUGCACGCACAAAGUACUUCGUAUACAUUAAAAAAGAAGCAAGAAAUGAAGCCACAGAGUUUAAUUUCUCAUGGCAGAACUUUUUCCCCCACAUUGAUAAUCACUAAUGCGAAAAAAAGGGGAUUUAAACAACCUAAACAUGCAAAUGAUAAAAGAGAAGCUCAAUAAUCCAUGAAAACAAUGUUAAAACUUCAGCAGCCAGCUCAAGCAGCAUCUGCUAAUCUCAGUCUAAUGUCCUUUUAGUCCUAAGUCCUAAACAGCACAUUUAUGUCUGAUAGUUAAUGAAUGCAAAAAAUGUCAAAUUAUUCCAUUCACAGAACUCGUAUUAACUUACCUUUACCCCAAACAUUCAGUGCUGGAAUAAAGGCUAUGUUGUGCUAUGACCCAAUUGCAGUGUCACGGUAUCAUGGCGUCACAGUCAAAGAGGAAAAGUAGAGGCCAGUGUUAUAAUAAAUCUUUUACAGAUUAGCUCGGAAAAAGGGGGUGAUAUAUGGUUUAGUGGCUGUUACUGCAAGUGUGAUCGCCAUAACAGGCCAUAAGACCGGUAAUUCCCAACUAUCUGUUGUGAAAAAUCUGGUAAAUUAAUCUUCCUAUGUUGUGACACAGGAAAACUUUCAUAUUUUAUAAUUCCUAUCCAUUACAUUUCCACAGGUAGUACUUUCAUCAAACUUUCAAGUUGAAAAUUACUGUACUUUAUAUCAGUAACAAUUAUAUGAAUUUUUCUCCUAAUUUGAUAUGUAUUUUUUAGUCACAUAACACUCCAAAACACUUAUCCGAUUUAAAUAUUUUUGUCUGUUGUUGAAAUAUAAAACCAAAAAAUCAAAAGCUGCCUCAUUGUUUAAAGUUAUGUCUCAGCUUAAAGCAAGUAAAAUGACCAAAUCUUAUGCUUUCAAAGAAGAAAAAGAUGUGAUUUGAACAAGAUUGAUAUUUGCAACUUCCAUAAGUAGCACAAAUCCUACAGAGAAGGUAAUUAUGAAGUUAAGAACACUUCUGAAAGCAAAGAAAUAGCAAGUGCAUAAUAAUUUCACAACAACAGCUCAUUACAAGUGACCAAAGAAUUUAAAGUAAUUUCUACUAACCGGGGACCUAUAGCAUGCAAAAGUUUUGCAGCAGAGCACAUGUCAGCAACUGUUUCAAGUGGCAUCCCACCAAGUAAAGCAGAUGCCUCUUUUAUAUUUGGAGUUACUAUGUCAGCCAUGGGAAGGAGCUCCUCU
rnacentral:misc_RNA from 1 species